UGGCAUCUGUUGACAGCCCGGUUACUUCUCUUGUGAGUGAGUGGGUUUUAAAUUAUAGAUGCUAAAUAAACCGUCCCUGCGCUUUCUUCAUGUUCUGUCUGUGACUUAGGAGAUUGAAUUGGGGACAACAUGA